CGAAGCAACGCGAAGUAACCUUACCAGGUCUUGACAUCCCGAUGCUAUUUCUAGAGUAUAGAAAGUUACUUCGGUACAUCGGUGACAGGUGGUGCAUGGUUGUCGUCAGGCUCGUGUCGUGAGAUGUUGGGUUAAGUCCCGCAACGAGCGCAACCCCUAUUGUUAGUUGCCAUCAUUCAGUUGGGCACUCUAGCGAGACUGCCGGUAAUAAACCGGAGGAAGUGGGAUGACGUCAAAUCAUCAUGCCCCUUAUGACCUGGGCUACACACGUGCUACAAUGGUUGGUACAACGAGUUGCGAGUCGGUGACGGCGAGCUAAUCUCUUAAAGCCAAUCUCAGUUCGGAUUGUAGGCUGCAACUCGCCUACAUGAAGUCGGAAUCGCUAGUAAUCGCGGAUCAGCACGCCGCGGUGAAUACGUUCCCGGGCCUU
rnacentral:rRNA from 1 species